CUUUUGGCUAAGAUCAAGUGUAGUA
rnacentral:piRNA from 2 species